rnacentral:rRNA from 1 species
AUUGAACGCUGGCGGCAUGCCUUACACAUGCAAGUCGAACGGCAGCACGGGUGCUUGCACCUGGUGGCGAGUGGCGAACGGGUGAGUAAUACAUCGGAACGUACCUUAUCGUGGGGGAUAACGCAGCGAAAGCUGUGCUAAUACCGCAUACGCCCUGAGGGGGAAAGCGGGGGAUCGCAAGACCUCGCGCGAUUAGAGCGGCCGAUGCCUGAUUAGCUUGUUGGUGGGGUAAAAGCCCACCAAGGCGACGAUCAGUAGCUGGUCUGAGAGGACGAUCAGCCACACGGGGCCUGGGAACCGGCCCAGACUCCUCCGGGAGGCAGCAGUGGGGAAUUUUGGACAAUGGGGGCAACCCUGAUCCAGCAAUGCCGCGUGAGUGAAGAAGGCCUUCGGGUUGUAAAGCUCUUUUGUCAGGGAAGAAACACCGGCUCUAACACAGUCCGGGAAUGACGGUACCUGAAGAAUAAGCACCGGCUAACUACGUGCCAGCCGCCGCAGUAA